AUGAAAUAUUUUUGCUCCCUUUCAUGGAUGUGUGUUUAUAUGUAUAUGUGCCUGUACACAUGUGUGUUGGUAUGUAAAACAUAUAUGCAAAUACCAGAAUUAUACCGCAUCUUAACAAAGACUUCAUCUUUCUUAAUUAGGGGAAAUUACCAGACUCAAAGCAGAAAACAGGUGUAUUCUGAGGAAUCUCCCUUGAGCAUUCUCACAAGUUCAUUGCUUGGCAACACCUUGGGAAUUGAAUAUCUGCAGUAGUGUCCUCGCCUUCAUCUACCUCACAGCAUUUCAAUGCAGUUCACUUGCUGCACUAGGUAAGAUUCCUCCCUCACUUAUUUCCCUCUUUGUUCAGCCUUUGAAUGGACCUAUAAUUCAAGAAAUUGACAGGGAGCAUGAAAGGAUUGGAAAGGCAGCAGAUGGAGUGGAGGGAGGAGGGAAGCAGGAGUCUGGAAAUGGCCUGGAGGCAGCCACUACCUGGUGGCCUAAGCACACAGAUGCAUUGCCUGACUUUGAAGAAGUUUAUACACAUAUUCUCAUGAAUAUUCUCAUAUGACAGUAAUAUCAUACAGUUGCAGAGCACGUUGCAAACAUCUGAAAGAGGUAAUAGAGAAUGUGAGGCAGCCUGGACUUAAGUAUUAUUAAGACUACAAGUGUAAAAACUUAAAUAAUUUACUGUAAAAUAAUCUGUGGGUUUUUCUGUGGGCUUUUA
rnacentral:lncRNA from 12 species